CAGCAGUGGGGAAUAUUGCACAAUGGGCGCAAGCCUGAUGCAGCCAUGCCGCGUGUAUGAAGAAGGCCUUCGGGUUGUAAAGUACUUUCAGCGGGGAGGAAGGCGAGCGGUUAAUAACCGCGUCGAUUGACGUUACCCGCAGAAGAAGCACCGGCUAACUCCGUGCCAGCAGCCGCGGUAAUACGGAGGGUGCAAGCGUUAAUCGGAAUUACUGGGCGUAAAGCGCACGCAGGCGGUCUGUCAAGUCGGAUGUGAAAUCCCCGGGCUUAACCUGGGAACUGCAUUCGAAACUGGCAGGCUAGAGUCUUGUAGAGGGGGGUAGAAUUCCAGGUGUAGCGGUGAAAUGCGUAGAGAUCUGGAGGAAUACCGGUGGCGAAGGCGGCCCCCUGGACAAAGACUGACGCUCAGGUGCGAAAGCGUGGGGAGCAAACAGGAUUAGAUACCC
rnacentral:rRNA from 1 species